AUGCCCAGCAUUCUGGGAGGUGAGAGUGACUUUAAACCUCUCACCGUAGGAUGUAACAUCUUAUACCAGGACAUGGUCUCCAGCAAAACUCAGGGAAGACAGAGCUUGAACAGGCGUGAGAAGAGGACUCCAGAAACUGUUCAUCUGGGAAAGCUGCUGGGAGGCAGGCUGGCGCGUUUUCGCAGCUUGAGAUUGGCGGCUGCCUGCGCGGGGUGGGCGCCGGGCUCCAGGCGGCUGUCCGGCUGUCCGGCCGUCUGGCUGUCCGGCCCGGCUGUCCGGCUGUCCGUGCCCGUCUGUUCGGCUGUCCGGCCAGGCUGUCUGGCUAUCCGGCUGUCCCUGCCCGGCUGUCCAGCUCUCCAGCUGUCUGGCCGUCCGGCCGUCCGACUGUCCGGCUGUCCGGCUGUCCGCCCGCGGAGGGCUGCACCUGCCGACGCGUGUGAGCAGGGGGGAUGGGGCCGCCCUCACCGGCCUGGACGGCCGAGCUGCGCCCGACGCUCCCCCUCCGUCCGGCCGCCGCCUUGGGAGGACCGCCUUCCCAGGUCAUCAACGAGAAGGCCAAGAACGAGCCGCCCCGGCCCUAGGGAGUACGAGCGGAGGUUAGAUCUUGGCGACUCUAAACCCACGUCCUCGGCACCUCUCCAGGCCGGAGGGCAACCUCCCGUCAGCUGGCCGGGGCGCGCAGUCUGCGUUCAUCCUUUCAUUCAUUCAUUCAUUCAUUCAUUCACUCGAUCGGAUCGUGACAGGCCUCCGGGGGGCUGAGCCCUGUCUGGGCAUCCCGCGGUGCCCACAGACCUGGCGUCGGAGCUCACCUUCCCGCAGGGGCCUCAGCAAAGCAACAGCGGGAUAGAGAAGUGAACUGAAUUGCAGAUUGUGACAGAUGCUCCGAAGAUACUAGACCAGUCCACACACUGAGUCCAGAAGCCCCGCCUGGAUGGGGGCUGCUUGAGAGGGUCCUGCCUGCGGGAAGGGUGGCUCAGGGUUGAGCGCCUGCCUUGGGCCCAGGGUGUGACCCCCAGGUGGGAUGGAGUCUCACCUUGGGCUCCCUACAGGGAGCCUGCUUCUCCCUCUGCCUGUGUCUCAUGAAUAGAUAAAUAAAAAAAAUAUAUAUAUAUUUUUAAGGCCUGCCUGAGAAGGUGCCAUCAGAGCUGAGAACAGAACGAUGCCUGGUGAAGGUAGAGCCAGCAGCUCUGGGUUCCAGUUUCAGCACCUGUCAGCCGUGUCACCUUGGGCAAGUCAUUCUUUCUGAUCUCUUGUCGCUCAUCUGUGAAAAGGAAGUGAUGACAGAGGGGCUGUGGGAGUCAUAGCAGGGUGUGUAAAGCACCCAGCGCAGUGCCCUGCUGGAAGAGACGCCCACUGUUACUGCUGCUGUCACUGUACUUUCUGAUCCAGGCCUGGGGUCUGCUCACUCUUGGCAGUGAGGCUGUGAGAUCGAAAGCCUUUAUGGCGAACUCCAGAGACCAUCAAGCCUGGUGGGGCAGACCUGGGUACCAGGCCAGGAAUUUGGGGCCUGAUUUCAGGCCUGGCUCUAAUACCUGCUGCUUGGUGACCCUGGCAGGUCAGAGAACAUACAAGGUCUCUAUGAGCCCCUUUCCUGCCUCCCAGGAUGGCUGUGGCCAGGAUAUUCAGGUGCUUUGAGCAGCUCUGCUUCAAUCCAGCUCUUUUGUCCAACCAGCUGCAUGACUUUGACAAGUCUCCCUGUCUCUGGGCCCUGGUUUUCUCACAUCUGCCAAAGGGAUACAAGAAUAUCCACUUUGGGCUCAUUGUGAGGCGCAGAUGAGAUGUAGAAUGUGACAGUAUAGUGGCCCCUCUCUUAUCCAUGGUUUUGCUCUCUGUGGUUUUACUUACUUAUUUUUUUAAGAUUUUAUUUAUUUAUGUGACAGAGAGGGAGAGAGAAAGAGAGAGCACACAAGCAGGAGGGGUGGCAGGCAGAGGGAGAAGGAGAAGCAGGCUCCUGCCCGAGCAGACCCUGGGACCAUGACCUGAGCCAAAGGCAACCGCUUGACUGACUGAGCCACCCAGGUGCCCAGCUCUCUUGGUCAACCGUGGUCUGGAAGCAGGUGAUCCUCCUGACAUAUCCAAUGAAGGUCAAUAGUAGCCUAAGGCUAUGUCACCAUGCCUGUGUCACUCACCUCAUUCCAUCUCAUGUCAGCAUUUUGCCAUCCCAUAGCAUCACAAGAACACAAGUGAGAACAGCACCAUAGGGUAUUUUGAGAAAGAGAGAGAUCACACUCACAUACCUUUUGCUACAGUAUGUUGUUAUAGUUGUUCUAUUUUAUUACUGGUCUGGUUGUUAAUCUCUUACUGGGCUUAAUUUAUGAAUUAAACUUUAUCACAGGUGCAUAUGUAUAGGAAAAAACAGUGUAUGUAGGGUUCGGUACUCUUCAGAGUUUCAGGCCCCCACCAGGGGUCUUGGAAUGCAUACCCCGUGGAUGAGGGGGGACCACUGUACUCCGAGUGCUGUGCAGCCGAGAGAAGUGGAGGGCUGCUGUGCUUGAGCUUAGGGUCAUACUCACCCCCACCCCUCAGAGAGAGGGCACCUUGGCCAUGGGCUAAAUUGGAGCUACUCUUGAAGUGAGGGCAGGGACUGAGUCUCAGGAGAGUGAGAGUGAGCUUUCCACAGAUGUGCAAAUGACUGGUUGAAGUCAGUGUCCUAAGUUGUUCACCCUGAGGUAAAGGGAACUUAGGUCCACCAUACCUGUCUCUAAAUAACCAGAAGGAACAGAGGCGAUCUAGCAAUCUCGAGGCACCUGCUGUGAGCCAGUGAACCCUCACAUGCUUCACAGAGAAGAUAGCUCCAGUUCAGCGAGGUUAAGCAACAUGUCCAGAAUCACACAGCUUGUAAAUGAAUUUGAAUCUAGUUCUCUCUGACUCCCAAAGGCAGAUCUUGUUUUGUAGGGCCUGAAGCAUAUUCCAUUUGGGUGGGGCUGGGGGGUGGGUGCAGGAGGUGAGGAGGACAGAGGAGGGGAGUCUUAAAGACAGACAUUUUAUAAGAACGCAACAUUUGGUACGAAAAUGACUAUUGGGGCCCCUGGGUGUCUCAGUAGUUGAGCAACUGCCUUUGGCCCAGGUCAUGAUCCUGGGGUCUUGGGAUCGGGUCCCACAUCCACUCCCUGCAUGGAGCCUGCUGAUCCCUCUGCAAGUGUCUCUGCCUCUCUCUGUGUGUGUCUCUCAUGAAUAAAGAAAUAAAAUCUUUAGAAAAAAAAAGGAAAGUGACUAUUGGUCUAGAAUGAAAAGAAAAGAAGGGGCCUUGGGAGGGCCCAUGCCCAAUGAGGGCCCUGGGAGCUUCCCCAUAAACUCUGAAGACAUCACAAGGCUACUGUUUAUUGCUCAUAGAAAUCCC
rnacentral:lncRNA from 1 species